rnacentral:rRNA from 1 species
GAUGAACGCUGGCGGCGUGCCUAAUACAUGCAAGUCGAGCGAACAGAUGAGAAGCUUGCUUCUCUGAUGUUAGCGGCGGACGGGUGAGUAACACGUGGGUAACCUACCUAUAAGACUGGGAUAACUCCGGGAAACCGGGGCUAAUACCGGAUAAUAUUUUGAACCGCAUGGUUCAAUAGUGAAAGACGGUUUCGGCUGUCACUUAUAGAUGGACCCGCGCCGUAUUAGCUAGUUGGUAAGGUAACGGCUUACCAAGGCGACGAUACGUAGCCGACCUGAGAGGGUGAUCGGCGACACGGGAACUGAGACACGGUCCAGACUCCUACGGGAGGCAGCAGUAGGGAAUCUUCCGCAAUGGGCGAAAGCCUGACGGAGCAACGCCGCGUGAGUGAUGAAGGUCUUCGGAUCGUAAAACUCUGUUGUUUGGGAAGAACAAAUUUGUUAGUAACUAUGCACGUCUUGACGGUACCUAAUCAGAAAGCCACGGCUAACUACGUGCCAGCCGCCGCUGUAA